rnacentral:lncRNA from 1 species
GUAGUGCGGUGACCGAAGUGUAAAAAGUCGUCUAGAUCGCGAGUUUAAUCUCCCCAAAUAACACACGGCUAAAAAUGGUCUUAACUUAAAGACAAAUAUGUCUUCUUUAGUUUUUGCCCUGUCGUCAGAAUUUCGUACGGUCACUUUUUUCUAAAAAGUUGUUUUAAUGACUGGUAGUAUAUUGGAGAGUUUCAACCCCCAUUUUUCAAAAUGUAAAAAAUGGGUAUGUUUGCUUACAUUUAAUUGAAAUCGUUUUUCCUGAAGCUAUUUUUACAUGUCAAAAUAUGCUAUUCAGUAUUUUAUUUUCUU